rnacentral:misc_RNA from 1 species
CACUCCAAUAUGGGUCUUUUUACCAGAAAUUGAUGCAUCUGAUACAGCUUGAGUUGCAAAUUUAGGUGAUUUACAGCUUAUGUGAAUUUUUCCAUCAUCUGUAACUCUCCAAUCUAGGCGAUUUGUAGAUCUCAUCAUAUGUAGCGAUUUGUAGCUCUCCAAUUUAGAUGUGCCAAUGUGUUGAACUAUGAAACUGUAGCGAUGGGUCGAUGGAUACAUGCAAUUUCCAAUAUAAUGCAGCAAUUUUACAAUUCAUCGACUCUCCAAGAUUAGGGAGGAUAAAGAUCCGAGAGAUUCUCCAUGUUUAGGAUGGAUAAAGAUCUUAGGAGUGAGAUUUGCAGCCAUGGAUCGCAAAAACCGAUCGUCUCUAAAUUUCCUCAGCUAAGAUGAUGAAACUAGAGCUUGGGGUCGUUAAG